rnacentral:lncRNA from 1 species
CUGUGCGGGCACCGUGCGGGCUGUGAGGGCACCGUGUGUGCUGUGUGUGCUGUGUGGGCACCGUGCGGGCUGUGAGGGCACCGUGUGGGCUGUGCGGGCACCGUGUGUGCUGUGUGGGCUGUGCGGGCACCGUGUGUGCUGUGUGCUGUGAGGGUAAAGGAUGAGGGCAAUUUCAUGUUAAGUGUAUUUUACCACCACUUAACUGAUUUUUGAAAAAAAAAAAA